rnacentral:rRNA from 1 species
AAUCUAAAACCCUUAUCGAGGAUCCAUUGGAGGGCAAGUCUGGUGCCAGCAGCCGCGGUAAUUCCAGCUCCAAUAGCGUAUAUUAAAGUUGUUGCAGUUAAAAAGCUCGUAGUUGAAUUUCUGGAUCUGCCGAGUGUGCGCCUCUGGCUGUAUGCUCCGCAGGUUCAUCUUCACCUCUCGGGGUGUCGUUUACUGUGAAGAAAUCAGAGUGUUUAAAGCAGGCAAUAGGCUUGAUUACAUUAGCAUGGAAUAAUGAGAUAGGACCUGGUCGCUAUUUUGUUGGUUGCGCGAUCGAGUAAUGAUUAAUAGGGUCAGUUGGGGGUAUUCAUAUUUAAUUGUCAGAGGUGAAAUUCUUGGAUUCAUUAAAGAUGAACUACUGCGAAAGCAUCUACCAAGGAUGUUUUCAUUAAUCAAGAACGAAAGUCAGGGGAUCGAAGAGGAUUAGAUACCCUCGUAGUCUUGACCAUAAACUAUGCCGACUCGGGAUUGGUACCUCUCUUUGACAAGGUAUCAGCACCGUAUGAUAAAUCAAAGUCUUUGGGUUCCGGGGGGAGUAUGGUCGCAAGGCUGAAACUUAAAGGAAUUGACGGAAGGGCACCACCAGGAGUGGAGCCUGCGGCUUAAUUUGACCCAACACGGGGAAACUCACCAGGUCCAGACAUAGUGAGGAUUGACAGAUUGAAAGAUCUUUCUUGAUUCUAUGGGUGGUGGUGCAUGGCCGUUCUUAGUUGGUGGAGUGAUUUGUCUGGUUAAUUCCGAUAACGAACGAGACCUCCGCCUGCUAGUCUAGAUUCUUCAUCCGUGGAUGGUGGAAUCUUCCUAGAGGGACUAUGGUCGUUUAGGCCAUGGAAGUUGGAGGCAAUAACAGGUCUGUGAUGCCCUUAGAUGUCCUGGGCCGCACGCGCGCUACACUGGCUGGUGCAACAAGUGUCUCCACGCUGGCCUCGAGAGGCCUGCGCAAUCUUGGAACGCCAGCCGUGAUGGGGAUAGGUUCUUGUAAUUUUUAAUCUUCAACGAGGAAUUCCUAGUAAACGCAAGUCAUCAGCUUGCAUUGAUUACGUCCCUGCCCUUUGUACACACCGCCCGUCGCACCUACCAAUUGGAUGGUCCGGUGAAGCCCUCGGAUUGGCCAGGAUCUUCGGUGACUGGCUCGAGAAGUAGGCUAAACCUUAUCAUCUAGAGGGAGGUGAAGUCGUAACAAGGU